rnacentral:rRNA from 1 species
CCUACGGGUGGCAGCAGUGAGGAAUAUUGGUCAAUGGGCGGAAGCCUGAACCAGCCAAGUCGCGUGAGGGAUUAAGGCCCUGCGGGUCGUAAACCUCUUUUGCCGGGGAGCAGUGGUCCGGACGCGUCCGGACCGGGAGAGUACCCGGAGAACAAGCAUCGGCUAACUCCGUGCCAGCAGCCGCGGUAAUACGGAGGAUGCGAGCGUUAUCCGGAUUCAUUGGGCUUAAAGGGAGCGUAGGCGGGCGUUCAAGUCAGCUGUAAAAUCGCGCGGCUCAACCGCGCCCCGCAGUUGAAACUGGACGCCUUGAGUUCACAACAGGCAGGCGGAAUUCGUGGUGUAGCGGUGAAAUGCAUAGAUAUCGCGCAGAACUCCGAUUGCGAAGGCAGCGUACCGGCGCCAGACUGACGCUGAGGCACGAAAGCGUGGGGAUCGAACAGGAUUAGAUACCCUAGUAGUC